rnacentral:misc_RNA from 1 species
AGUCAUCAACCCCUUCUGUUUUACGGACUGGGUUGGAUUGUGGGGGCCUGCUGCCGUGAGGCGGCUCCCCUCAAAUGCAUCGGUUGGGCCUGUGGGUCGAAAUCGACUGGGCGUUGUACCAUCCUCGCUCGACAGAGACGUUCCCCCGCUGUGCCCUUCCCCGACCUGCCUCUCGGAGUGGCGGUCACAAGCGAAAGCUUUGAA